rnacentral:rRNA from 1 species
GUCAAUUAUUUAUAGCCUCUGGCUAUAGGAAAUUGUUAGUGGCAGACGGGUGAGUAAUGCGUAGGAAUCUACCUAGUAGUACGGAAUAGCCAUUAGAAAUGGUGGGUAAUACUGUAUAAUCCCCGAGGGGGAAAGAUUUAUCGCUAUUAGAUGAGCCUACGUUAGAUUAGCUAGUUGGUGAGGUAAUGGCUUACCAAGGCUAUGAUCUAUAGCUGGUCUGAGAGGACGAUCAGCCACACUGGAACUGAGAUACGGUCCAGACUCCUACGGGAGGCAGCAGUGGGGAAUAUUGGACAAUGGGSGAAASCCUGAUCCAGCUAUGCCGCGUGAGUGAAGAAGGCCUUCGGGUUGUAAAACUCUUUCAAUAGGGAAGAUAAUGACGGUACCUAUAA